rnacentral:rRNA from 1 species
GAGUUUGGUCCUGGCUCAGGACGAACGCUGGCGGCGUGCCUAACACAUGCAAGUCGAGCGGAGACAGUGAGUAGCUUGCUAUGAGCUGUCUUAGCGGCGGACGGGUGAGUAACGCGUGAGCAACCUUUCCCGGACAGGGGAAUAACACACCGAAAGGUGUACUAAUACCGCAUAAGACCACGGGAUCACAUGGUUCUGGGGUAAAAGAUUUAUCGGUUUGGGGUGGGCUCGCGUCCGAUUAGGUAGUUGGUGAGGUAACGGCCCACCAAGCCGACGAUCGGUAGCCGACCUGAGAGGGUGAUCGGCCACAUUGGGACUGAGACACGGCCCAAACUCCUACGGGAGGCAGCAGUGGGAAUAUUGGGCAAUGGAGGAAACUCUGACCCAGCAACGCCGCGUGGAGGAAGAAGGUUUUCGGAUCGUAAACUCCUGUCCUUGGAGACGAGUAGAAGACGGUAUCCAAGGAGGAAGCCCCGGCUAACUACGUGCCAGCAGCCGCGGUAAUACGUAGGGGGCAAGCGUUGUCCGGAAUAAUUGGGCGUAAAGGGCGCGUAGGCGGCUCGGUAAGUCUGGAGUGAAAGUCCUGCUUUUAAGGUGGGAAUUGCUUUGGAUACUGUCGGGCUUGAGUGCAGGAGAGGUUAGUGGAAUUCCCAGUGUAGCGGUGAAAUGCGUAGAGAUUGGGAGGAACACCAGUGGCGAAGGCGACUAACUGGACUGUAACUGACGCUGAGGCGCGAAAGUGUGGGGAGCAAACAGGAUUAGAUACCCUGGUAGUCCACACUGUAAACGAUGAAUGCUAGGUGUAGGGGGUAUCGACCCCUUCUGUGCCGCAGUCAACACAAUAAGCAUUCCGCCUGGGGAGUACGGCCGCAAGGUUGAAACUCAAAGGAAUUGACGGGGGCCCGCACAAGCAGCGGAGCAUGUGGUUUAAUUCGACGCAACGCGAAGAACCUUACCAGGUCUUGACAUCCACUUAAACUUACAGAGAUGUAAGGUGUGCUUGCACAAAGUGAGACAGGUGGUGCAUGGUUGUCGUCAGCUCGUGUCGUGAGAUGUUGGGUUAAGUCCCGCAACGAGCGCAACCCUUAUCUUCAGUUACUAACGCGUGAGGGUGAGGACUCUGAAGAGACUGCCGGGGACAACUCGGAGAAAGGUGGGGACGACGUCAAAUCAUCAUGCCCCUUAUGACCUGGGCUACACACGUGCUACAAUGGCCACGACAGAGAGAAGCGAAAUCGCAAGGUAGAGCGGAACUCAAAAAAGUGGUCCCAGUUCGGAUUGUGGGCUGCAACCCGCCCACAUGAAGUCGGAGUUGCUAGUAAUCGCGGAUCAGCAUGCCGCGGUGAAUACGUUCCCGGGCCUUGUACACACCGCCCGUCACACCAUGGGAGUUGGGAGUGCCCAAAGCCGGUGAGGCAACCGCAAGGAGCCAGCCGUCUAAGGCAAGACCAAUGACUGGGGUGAAGUCGAAACAAGGUA